rnacentral:misc_RNA from 1 species
AAUUCUCAACCUCACCAACUUUGUCAUGAAGUUGUGUGUAGGCUUGGAGGUGGGGGGUUUGCAGGUCCACAACUGUGGUCUGCUCCUCUGAAAUGUAUUAGUGGGUUAGGCCCCUUAUCUAUCGGUGUGAUAAUUAUCUACUCCGUGGAUUGGGUUGGCUUAUCAUAAGACCUGCUUCAAACCGUCCUUCCCUUGGACAACUCUUGACAU